GAAAAAUCACAGGCCUGAGAUGUUAUCUUGGUUUGUGUAACCUCUCACCGGUCGGCCAUGACUCCUGUCAUCUGCAUACCUUCAGGCCACUGGCGGCUAACAGCAGCAGCGAGCUACAUGAUCAAAGUUAUUACAGAUCUUGAUGGAAUGUGACGGUUCAUAAACAGCGACUAUUACCAGACUGCCGAGAACGAAGCUGACAUGAGAACCCGAGCAAAAACGUGGCAAAUCAAGAGGG